GGUCCCAUAAAUGCCUUUCACUAGACAAAUGUAAGAGGUGACUAGUUUAGAAAGAGGAGGCAGAAUAAAGCUACCCUAUAUACACCUCAGCCUAGGCCGCCGCCAUGCCUGGUCUGAAUCGUGAGUGGGGAGACAUGG